rnacentral:rRNA from 1 species
CAGUAGCCGCGGUAACACGUAGGCGGCAAGCGUUGUCCGGAAUUAUUGGGCGUAAAGGGCUCGCAGGCGGUUUCUUAAGUCCGAUGUGAAAGCCCCCGGCUCAACCGGGGAGGGUCAUUGGAAACUGGGAAACUUGAGUGCAGAAGAGGAGAGUGGAGUUCCACGUGUAGCGGUGAAAUGCGUAGAGAUGUGGAGGAACACCAGUGGCGAAGGCGACUCUCUGGUCUGUAACUGACGCUGAGGAGCGAAAGCGUGGGGAGCGAACAGGAUUAGAUACCCCAGUAGUCCCUGUCUCUUAUAA